UCUGCGCCGUUCCCCCUUCGUCCCCACCCCGCCGCCCAUCCCAUGGCGACCAAAUCCCCCAGCCCUACCACGGACCCAGCACCCGCACCAGGCCCUACCCAGCACCCGCUCCGCCGCAGUCACUCUCCGGUCUCCGCGCGGGGCUCUACGCCGACCGCACCGAGCAGCAGCAGCAGCAGCGCAAUGAAGCCAACCAAGUCAGUGAGAUCCAAAGUCGGGGAGUCUCUGCCUGCUACCUUGAGCACUGAUUUCGACAACCAGGUUGGGGGGCAGAAAUCUUGUGGAAGUAACAGAUCAAGCGAUUUAGAAUAUCUAGCAAACGAGAUAGAUGAUCUUGUGCUGCAACCAAGGUAUGAUGGCGUGAAUGGGCCAAAGAUGGUCUCAUUCUCUGACUUCCUGCGGAUCGUUGCUUCAGAAUCAGAACGACAACCUAGACGACGUCAGCCCAUUGGUGCCCUGCCGCAAGAUGAUCGUAACGUUUGUUCUUUAAGAACCCCAUCUCCACCCGUUGAAGAAGAACCAAAGGGAGAUGUGUUAGUCAAAUCCUCCCCUGAAAAGGCGGAUGCUGCAUUGGCGCAUGCUAUUAUGUGAGAGGGAACAAUUCAUCUUACUGGGUCUUCACUCACAAAUGUUGUUGCUAUCUUCAAAAGCGGUGAAAAGCCAUCUGCCAAUGAGUGGCCCCGCUCUCUCGAGAUCAAGAAAAGAGUGAGCCUCGGUGUUUUUGAAAAAUUGCUUGGACUGCUUCGUGAAUCCAGGAAACGUACUAUAAUGGUAACUGAGUUGCGUUGGAAGGAGGGCUCUAUUGAGAGUGGUCGGCAUCAUCUCUUAAAGACCAUAGAGUCGUAUACUGCCAAUGGUUAGUGAAGCCAACCGAAGAGGUGGAGUUGUUCCUCUGUCCUUAUCAAGGGAAGGCAGCUCAGAUACUUGCUGACAACCUGCUAAAGGAGCACUCGGGCAGUUUAACCACUUUGCUUGCAACAUCUAUUAUCGGAGUUGUGGUGUGGCCAAGACCCCAUAUCUCAUCUAUGGUAGUUUAAAUUUGUGCAAUCUGCAAGCGUCUGUCCGCUUUGAUGCACGGUUGCCUUGUCCCUCGUCCACUCAUCAGUUAAUAUAUGCAAGUAUCAUAAGAUCUGCAUAUUGAGAUGGUUUUAUGUUAUGUUGUGUCAGAACCUCGUGCACCUAGCCAUCUUGGUUUGUUUCCCUUCCCAGGGAGUCAAGUACUUGGUAUAUGUAACUGCAACAAGUUGAAUGCUAAAAUUGCUAUGUUUGGUUGCUUUCUUGCUG